GUGGGGAAUAUUGGACAAUGGGCGCAAGCCUGAUCCAGCCAUGCCACGUGAGUGAUGAAGGCCCUAGGGUUGUAAAGCUCUUUCACCGGUGAAGAUAAUGACGGUAACCGGAGAAGAAGCCCCGGCUAACUUCGUGCCAGCAGCCGCGGUAAUACGAAGGGGGCUAGCGUUGUUCGGAAUUACUGGGCGUAAAGCGCACGUAGGCGGACAUUUAAGUCAGGGGUGAAAUCCCGGGGCUCAACCCCGGAACUGCCUUUGAUACUGGGUGUCUGGAGUAUGGAAGAGGUAAGUGGAAUUCCGAGUGUAGAGGUGAAAUUCGUAGAUAUUCGGAGGAACACCAGUGGCGAAGGCGGCUCACUGGCUCGAUACUGACGCUGAGGUGCGAAAGCGUGGGGAGCAAACAGGAUUAGAAACCCUUGUAGUCC
rnacentral:rRNA from 1 species